GGGCCCGUAGUAUACCGGUAACACACUUGGCUGGCAGUCAAGAAUAGGGGGUUCGAUUCCCCCCGGGUCCA
rnacentral:tRNA from 1 species